rnacentral:rRNA from 1 species
CCACCUCCAGUAGCAUAUAUUAAAGUUGUUGCAGUUAAAAGGCUCGUAGUUUGAUUUCUGGCAGGGUGACUUUGCCCUCAUGUUGAGUGUGCUGAGCAGCCCUACCAUCCUUCUGUUAACCCAUCGGAGCUUAAUAACUUUGUUGGUCUGAGGGGUUCAAGUAAUGAUUAAUAGGGAUAGUUGGGGGCAUUAGUACUUAACUGUCAGAGGUGAAAUUGUCAGAUUUGUUAAAGACUAACUUAUGCGAAAGCAUUUGUCAAGGAUGUUUUCA